rnacentral:rRNA from 1 species
CUACGGGCGGCUGCAGUGGGGAAUAUUGGACAAUGGGGGAAACCCUGAUCCAGCAAUGCCGCGUGUGUGAAGAAGGCCUGCGGGUUGUAAAGCACUUUCGGUUGGGAGGACUGCUUCUAGCACUAAUAUUGUUGGAAGUUGACGUUACCUUCAGAAGAAGCACCGGCUAACUCCGUGCCAGCGAGCCGCGGUAAUACGGAGGGUGCAGAGCGUUAAUCGGAAUUACUGGGCGUAAAGCGCGCGUAGGCGGCUAGAUCAGUCGGGUGUGAAAGCCCCGGGCUUAACCUGGGAACUGCAUCCGAUACUGUCUAGCUUGAGUACAGGAGAGGAGAGUGGAAUUCCACAUGUAGCGGUGAAAUGCGUAGAUAUGUGGAGGAACACCGAUGGCGAAGGCAGCUCUCUGGCCUGAUACUGACGCUGAGGUGCGAAAGCGUGGGGAGCAAACAGGAUUAGAUACCCUCGUAGUC